UUCUGGCUCAGGAUGAACGCUAGCGACAGGCUUAACACAUGCAAGUCGAGGGGCAGCAUAAAAGUAGCAAUACUUGGUGGCGACCGGCGCACGGGUGAGUAACGCGUAUGCAACCUACCUAUCAGAGGGGAAUAACCCGGCGAAAGUCGGACUAAUACCGCAUAAAACAGGGGCACCGCAUGGUGAUAUUUGUUAAAGAAAUUCGCUGAUAGAUGGGCAUGCGUUCCAUUAGGUAGUUGGUGAGGUAACGGCUCACCAAGCCGACGAUGGAUAGGGGAACUGAGAGGUUGGUCCCCCACACUGGUACUGAGACACGGACCAGACUCCUACGGGAGGCAGCAGUGAGGAAUAUUGGUCAAUGGGCGGGAGCCUGAACCAGCCAAGUCGCGUGAAAGGAAGAAGGAUCUAUGGUUCGUAAACUUCUUUUGCAGGGGAAUAAAGUGCAGGACGUGUCCUGUUUUGUAUGUACCCUGAGAAUAAGGAUCGGCUAACUCCGUGCCAGCAGCAGC
rnacentral:rRNA from 1 species